AGUGAACGCUGGCGGUAGGCCUAACACAUACAAGUCGAACGGCAGCACAGUAAGAGCUUGCUCUUACGGGUGGCGAGUGGCGGACGGGUGAGGAAUACAUCGGAAUCUACUUUUUCGUGGGGGAUAACGUAGGGAAACUUACGCUAAUACCUCAUACGACCUACGGGUGAAAGCAGGGGAUCUUCGGACCUUGCGCGAUUGAAUGAGCCGAUGUCGGAUUAGCUAGUUGGCGGGGUAAAGGCCCACCAAGGCGACGAUCCGUAGCUGGUCUGAGAGGAUGAUCAGCCACACUGGAACUGAGACACGGUCCAGACUCCUACGGGAGGCAGCAGUGGGGAAUAUUGGACAAUGGGCGCAAGCCUGAUCCAGCCAUACCGCGUGGGUGAAGAAGGCCUUCGGGUUGUAAAGCCCUUUUGUUGGGAAAGAAAAGCAGCAGGUUAAUACCCCGCUGUUCUGACGGUACCCAAAGAAUAAGCACCGGCUAACUUCGUG
rnacentral:rRNA from 1 species